CCUACGGGAGGCAGCAGUGGGGAAUAUUGGACAAUGGGGGAAACCCUGAUCCAGCGACGCCGCGUGAGUGAAGAAGUAUUUCGGUACGUAAAGCUCUAUCAGCAGGAAAGAAAAUGACGGUACCUGACUAAGAAGCCCCGGCUAACUACGUGCCAGCAGCCGGGGGAAUACGUAGGGGGCAAGCGUUAUCCGGAUUUACGGGGGGUAAAGGGAGCGUAGACGGCGGCGCAAGUCUGGAGUGAAAUGCCGGGGGCCAACCCCGGAACUGCUCUGGAAACUGGGAAGCUGGAGUGCAGGAGAGGUAAGCGGAAUGCCUGGUGUAGCGGUGAAAUGCGUAGAUAUCGGGAGGAACACCGGCGGCGAAGGCGGCUUACUGGACUGUAACUGACGUUGAGGCUCGAAGGCGUGGGGAGCGAACAGGAUUAGAUACCCUGGUAGUC
rnacentral:rRNA from 1 species